rnacentral:rRNA from 1 species
CCUACGGGAGGCUGCAGUGGGGAAUAUUGGGCAAUGGAGGCAACUCUUACCCAGCAAUGCCGCGUGAAUGAAGAAGGUCUUCGGAUUGUAAAGUUCUUUAAUUGGGGACGAAAAAAAUGACGGUACCCAAGGAAUAAGCCCCGGCUCACUACGUGCCAGCAGACGCGGUAAUACGUAGGGGGCAAGCGUUGUUCGGAAUGACGGGGCGUAAAGGGUGUGUAGGCGGGUUAGCAAGUUAGAAGUGAAAUACCUAUAGCUUAACUCAGGUGCUGCUUCUAAAACUGCUAUACUUGAGUGCAGGAGAGGAAAGUGGAAUUCCUAGUGUAGCGGUGGAAUGCGUAGAUAUUAGGAGGAACAUCAGUGGCGAAGGCGACUUUCUGGACUGUAACUGACGCUGAGGCACGAAAGUGUGGGGAGCAAACAGGAUUAGAUACCCUUGUAGUC